rnacentral:rRNA from 1 species
CUUCUCCGGAUGAGUUGCGAACGGGUGAGUAACGCGUAGGUAACCUGCCUGGUAGCGGGGGAUAACUAUUGGAAACGAUAGCUAAUACCGCAUAAGAGUAGAUGUUGCAUGACAUUUGCUUAAAAGGUGCAAUUGCAUCACUACCAGAUGGACCUGCGUUGUAUUAGCUAGUUGGUGGGGUAACGGCUCACCAAGGCGACGAUACAUAGCCGACCUGAGAGGGUGAUCGGCCACACUGGGACUGAGACACGGCCCAGACUCCUACGGGAGGCAGCAGUAGGGAAUCUUCGGCAAUGGACGGAAGUCUGACCGAGCAACGCCGCGUGAGUGAAGAAGGUUUUCGGAUCGUAAAGCUCUGUUGUAAGAGAAGAACGAGUGUGAGAGUGGAAAGUUCACACUGUGACGGUAUCUUACCAGAAAGGGACGGCUAACUACGUGCCAGCAGCCGCGGUAAUACGUAGGUCCCGAGCGUUGUCCGGAUUUAUUGGGCGUAAAGCGAGCGCAGGCGGUUAGAUAAGUCUGAAGUUAAAGGCUGUGGCUUAACCAUAGUACGCUUUGGAAACUGUUUAACUUGAGUGCAAGAGGGGAGAGUGGAAUUCCAUGUGUAGCGGUGAAAUGCGUAGAUAUAUGGAGGAACAC